CGCAGAAGACUGAAGAUUCUCUCCCGGCCGGGGCGCGAAAUGUCCUGAAUGCGCACGCCGCAGCGCAUACGUCAUGAUGACUUCUUGCUGGCCAGUAUAGUACAGAGCCGCGAACGCGCACGCUGGCUCUCAUGCGGCAUGAAGACUUCUUCCUG